AAAACAACUCUCAGCAACGGAUAUCUUGGCUCUUGCAACGAUGAAGAACGCAGCGAAAUGCGAUACGUAGUGUGAAUUGCAGAAUUCCGCGAAUCAUCGAGUCUUUGAACGCAAGUUGCGCCCGAGGCUUGUCCAAGGGCAUUCCUGUCAGAGCGUCMUS
rnacentral:rRNA from 1 species